UGUCUUGUAGUAUAAUGGUUAUUAUGAAAGAUUUUGGCUCUUUAGAUAUAGGUUCAAUUCCUAUCAAGACAA
rnacentral:tRNA from 1 species